rnacentral:rRNA from 1 species
CCCUGUAAUUGGAAUGAGUACACUUUAAAUCCUUUAACAAGGACCUAUUGGAGGGCAAGUCUGGUGCCAGCAGCCGCGGUAACUCCAGCUCCAAUAGCGUAUAUUAAAGUUGUUGCGGUUAAAACGUUCGUAGUUGAACUUGUGCUUCAUACGGGUGGUACAACUAUAAUUGUAGUUUGUGCUGUACCUUAUGUAUGUAAGCGUAUUACCGGUGGAGUUCUUAUAUGUGUUAAGUACUUGUAUUUUUCACAUAUUCCUCCUAUUUAAACCUGCUUCAGUGCUCUUCAUCGAGUGUUGUUGUGGGCCGGUACAAUUACUUUGAACAAAUUAGAGUGCUUAAAGCAGGCUCCAAAUGCCUGAAUAUUUUGUGCAUGGAAUAAUGAAAUAAGACCUCUGUUCUACUUUCAUUGGUUUUUAGAUCAAGAGGUAAUGAUUAAUAGAAGCAGUUUGGGGGCAUUAGUAUUACGACGCGAGAGGUGAAAUUCUUGGACCGUCGUAAGACUAACUUAAGCGAAAGCAUUUGCCAAAGAUGUUUUCAUUAAUCAAGAACGAAAGUUAGAGGUUCGAAGGCGAUCAGAUACCGCCCUAGUUCUAACCAUAAACGAUGCCAGCUAGCAAUUGGGUGUAGCUACUAUCAUGGCUCUCUCAGUCGCUUCCCGGGAAACCAAAGCUUUUGGGCUCCGGGGGAAGUAUGGUUGCAAAGCUGAAACUUAAAGGAAUUGACGGAAGGGCACCACCAGGAGU